GGGUCCGGACACACUGAGGAUUGACAGGCAAUAUUAAUACGUUUUGCUUCGGUAAACGCGUAUUAUGUUAAAUAUGCUAGUCCUUUCAUGAUUAUGUGAUAGGUGGUGCAUGGCCGUUCUUAGUUCGUGGAGUGAUCUGUCUGCUUAAUUGCGUUUCACUAAGGGCCUAUAAAUUUACGUGUGUUGCAUCGCACUUUGACCCCUUUCUUUAAUUAGAGAGCGCGUGUCUUAGUUUUCGCUUUGCUCAUACAAUUAGGUCCUGAAAGCAACGAACGUGACCGCAACCUCUUGUUGCCUUUAUACCAAACAUGUUUUGCGUCAAUUUUUACGAAUUGCGCGCAUUUCAUGAAAAAAGGCUUUUUAAACUAGAGGGACCGCUGUUACUUUCUUAAACCAGAGGAAGGUUGCGGCAAUAACAGGUCUGUGAUGCCCUUAGAUGUUCCGGGCUGCACACGUGCUACAAUGAUUAUUGCAGUGAGCAUCUCAUUUUUACACACCGCAUGCGCGAGUCCAUUUAUUCACCUUCGGGUGUUUUAAAUGUGUAUCUCUGCGCGCGGUAAAGCCUGCUUCGACAGCAAGUGGGU
rnacentral:rRNA from 1 species